rnacentral:rRNA from 1 species
UGGGGAAUAUUGCACAAUGGGCGCAAGCCUGAUGCAGCCAUGCCGCGUGUAUGAAGAAGGCCUUCGGGUUGUAAAGUACUUUCAGCGGGGAGGAAGGGAGUAAAGUUAAUACCUUUGCUCAUUGACGUUACCCGCAGAAGAAGCACCGGCUAACUCCGUGCCAGCAGCCGCGGUAAUACGGAGGGUGCAAGCGUUAAUCGGAAUUACUGGGCGUAAAGCGCACGCAGGCGGUUGAUUGAGUCAGAUGUGAAAUCCCCGGGCUUAACCCGGGAAUUGCAUCUGAUACUGGUCAGCUAGAGUCUUGUAGAGGGGGGUAGAAUUCCAUGUGUAGUGGUGAAAUGCGUAGAGAUGUGGAGGAAUACCGGUGGCGAAGGCGGCCCCCUGGACAAAGACUGACGCUCAGGUGCGAAAGCGUGGGGAGCAAACAGG